GGCUGGGUGGCUUAGUUGGUUGGAGCAUUGUCCUGUACACUGAAAGGCUAUGGGUUCGAUUCCCAGUCCAGGCA
rnacentral:tRNA from 1 species